rnacentral:rRNA from 1 species
GGGGAAUAUUGCACAAUGGGCGAAAGCCUGAUGCAGCAACGCCGCGUGAGUGAGGACGGCCUUCGGGUUGUAAAACUCUGUUCUUGAGGAAGAAUUCCUUCCAGGCGAACAGCCUGGAAGGUUGACGGUACUCAAGGAGAAAGCCCCGGCUAACUACGUGCCAGCAGCCGCGGUAAUACGUAGGGGGCGAGCGUUAUCCGGAAUUAUUGGGCGUAAAGCGCGCGCAGGCGGCUGAUUAAGUCAGGUGUGAAAGGCUGCGGCUCAACCGCAGAGCGGCACCUGAAACUGGUCAGCUUGAGUGCAGGAGAGGGGAGCGGAAUUCCCGGUGUAGCGGUGGAAUGCGUAGAGAUCGGGAGGAACACCAGUGGCGAAGGCGGCUCUCUGGCCUGUAACUGACGCUGAGGCGCGAAAGCGUGGGGAGCAAAC